rnacentral:rRNA from 1 species
UACAGAGGUCCCGAGCGUUGUUCGGAUUCAUUGGGCGUAAAGGGUGCGUAGGCGGCGGGGUAAGUUUGAUGUGAAAUCCCGGGGCUCAACUCUGGAAUUGCAUUGAAUACUACCUUGCUAGAGUACCGGAGAGGAAACUGGAAUUUACGGUGUAGCAGUGAAAUGCGUAGAGAUCGUAAGGAAGACCAGUGGCGAAGGCGAGUUUCUGGACGGUAACUGACGCUGAGGCACGAAGGCCAGGGGAGCAAACGGG